rnacentral:tRNA from 1 species
GGGCGGCUAGUUCAGUGGACGGAACGCUUGGUUCCGGACCAAGAGGUCGGGGGUUCGAAUCCCUCGUCGCCCG